rnacentral:rRNA from 1 species
AUUGAACGCUGGCGGCAUGCCUUACACAUGCAAGUCGAACGGCAGCACGGGUGCUUGCACCUGGUGGCGAGUGGCGAACGGGUGAGUAAUACAUCGGAACAUGUCCUGUAGUGGGGGAUAGCCCGGCGAAAGCCGGAUUAAUACCGCAUACGAUCUACGGAUGAAAGCGGGGGACCUUCGGGCCUCGCGCUAUAGGGUUGGCCGAUGGCGGAUUAGCUAGUUGGUGGGGUAAAGGCCUACCAAGGCGACGAUCAGUAGCUGGUCUGAGAGGACGACCAGCCACACUGGAACUGAGACACGGCCCAGACUCCUACGGGAGGCAGCAGUGGGGAAUUUUGGACAAUGGGCGAAAGCCUGAUCCAGCAAUGCCGCGUGUGUGAAGAAGGCCUUCGGGUUGUAAAGCACUUUUGUCCGGAAAGAAAUGCUUGGCCCUAAUACGGUCGGGGGAUGACGGUACCGGAAGAAUAAGCACCGGCUAACUACGUG